rnacentral:rRNA from 1 species
CCCUCCCUCUUUCUUCAGGCCUAACACAUGCAAGUCGAGCGAGGACUUCGGUCCUAGCGGCGGACGGGUGAGUAACGCGUGGGAACGUGCCCUUUGCUUCGGAAUAGCCCUGGGAAACUGGGAGUAAUACCGGAUGAGCCCUUUGGGGGAAAGAUUUAUCGGCGAAGGAUCGGCCCGCGUUGGAUUAGGUAGUUGGUGGGGUAAUGGCCUACCAAGCCGACGAUCCAUAGCUGGUUUGAGAGGAUGAUCAGCCACACUGGGACUGAGACACGGCCCAGACUCCUACGGGAGGCAGCAGUGGGGAAUCUUAGACAAUGGGGGAAAACCUGAUCGAGCCAUGCCGCGUGAGCGAUGAAGGCCUUAGGGUUGUAAAGCUCUUUCAGCUGGGAAGAUAAUGACGGUACCAGCAGAAGAAGCCCCGGCUAACUCCGUG